GUUGCUUAUCAGUAAAGGAGAUGUUCGUUUAUUUUGAGAUUUUGGGACAGUGGAUUAAUUUCUGUUGUCGUUAGAAAGGAAAAUCCUAAUGAUGGCGGAGUUGACAACGGAGACCGGAGGUGACAUCACUCCGCUGCCGUACAGAGUACAGUAAAUCAGUCGGUCUCAACUCUCAACUCUCAACUCCUCAUCCAACGUGUCGACGCACACAGCAUGCCAGUCACGUCCGACGUCGCCUGUCGUCGUCCAAUGAUCAAGGCCUUGGCCUUGUUUAGUUCACCCCAA
rnacentral:lncRNA from 1 species